rnacentral:rRNA from 1 species
GAUGAACGCUAGCGGCAGGCCUAACACAUGCAAGUCGAGGGGUAGAAGGAGCUUGCUCCUUUGAGACCGGCGCACGGGUGCGUAACGCGUAUGCAAUCUACCUUGUACAGGGGAAUAGCCCAGAGAAAUUUGGAUUAAUGCCCCAUAGUAUAUAACCUUCGCAUGUUGGUUAUAUUAAAGUUCCAACGGUACAAGAUGAGCAUGCGUCCCAUUAGUUAGUUGGUAAGGUAACGGCUUACCAAGACGAUGAUGGGUAGGGGUCCUGAGAGGGAGAUCCCCCAGACGGGUACUGAGACACGGACCAGACUCCUACGGGAGGCAGCAGUGAGGAAUAUUGGUCAAUGGUCGCAAGACUGAACCAGCCAUGCCGCGUGCAGGAAGACGGUCCUAGGGAUUGUAAACUGCUUUUAGACAGGAAGAAACCCUCCCACGUGUGGGAGCUUGACGGUACUGUAGGAAUAAGGAUCGGCUAACUCCGUG